GACGAACCGUCCAAACGUUAUUCGGAAUCACUGGGCUUAAAGGGUGCGUAGGCGGCGCGGAAAGUUGGGUGUGAAAUCCCUCGGCUCAACCGAGGAACUGCGCCCAAAACUGCCGUGCUCGAGGGAGAUAGAGGUGAGCGGAACUUAGGGUGGAGCGGUGAAAUGCGUUGAUAUCCUAAGGAACACCGGUGGCGAAAGCGGCUCACUGGAUCUCUUCUGACGCUGAGGCACGAAAGCUAGGUAGCGAACGGG
rnacentral:rRNA from 1 species